AGUGCUUCAGGUUCUCAAAUCUUCUCAAUUCUUUCCUAUGGUACAGUUUCAUAGACAUCUUCCUCUUCUUCCCUUUCUUCAUUCCCCACCUCCUCUAACACCAUCAUUUUAUCCAUUUUUUAUUGGGGGUGGCUCCACUGGUGUUUGCUUUCAAUAGGUAAGUAUGGACACAAUCAUCCAUUUCCAUUUACCAACCAGGACUGCAGCCAUCCAGGGAUAGAAGUAUUUAUUCCUGAAUUCUCUGUGGAGAAAUCAGUCAGCCGCCUCGCCCUAGGAAACCUCAUGGGUGGGCCUCCCAGCGCAUCCUCACGCACCUCUCCCUCGAGUCCCAGAGCCUCAACCCCAUUACACAGGGGCACCGGUGGAACCGAGGCGCCACUCAGGGAAGGCACAGGGACUGCCAGAGCAGCAGUGCAUCAGCAAGACAAGGGGAUGCAGGGAGCGGCACCUGGCGAAGCGGGGGGUGCCAAA